CUCUUUUGGUUAAUGGGGUGGGAAGAAAAUUUGUCUUGGUGAGGCAGUAUUUUUGAGUAGCUGCACCUUUGCCAGGGUGAGUAGUACCGAGUUUCGAAACGAGACGAAUAUGCAAACACAAGCUCAUACAUGUCUCUCUUCAUUCUUCUUCUUCCCUCCGAAUCGAAACCCUUUCACUUCAUCUUCAUCCUCUUCUUUUCGUUGGAACCAAAUGGCAAUUAGGGUUCGGAAAAACCCACACUUUGUGGUGCGCGCUGGUGCUAAGAAGAUAUCAUUCGGUAAGGAAUGCAGAGAGGCUUUGCUAGUAGGCAUGGAUAAACUCGCUGAUGCUGUCUCUCUUACUGUAGGACCCAAAGGCCGUAAUGUUAUUCUUUCUGAAUCUGGGAAGCUUAAAGUAAUUAAUGACGGUGUUACAAUUGCACGAUCCAUAGAGCUUGCCGACGCAAUUGAGAAUGCAGGUGCCAUGCUAAUUCAAGAGGUUGCGAGUAAAAUGAAUGAUUUGGCUGGAGAUGGUACUAGCACUGCAAUUAUUUUGGCUCGAGCCAUGAUUAAAUAUGGGCUAUUAUCUGUUGCAUUUGGGGCUAAUCCUAUUUCGUUGAGGAAAGGGAUGGAAAAGACUGUAAAAGAUUUGAUCAAGUUCUUGAAGACGAGAAGCGUUCCUGUUGAAGGAAGGGAUCACAUUAAAGCUGUAGCAUCAAUAUCUGCUGGAAAUGAUGAGUAUGUUGGCAAUUUGAUUGCUGAAGCUAUAGAGAAGAUUGGUUCUGAUGGGGUGAUCUCCAUUGAGACAUCUUCAACAUCUGAAACCUCCGUCAUAAUUGAAAAAGGGAUGAAGAUUGAUAAGGGUUAUAUGUCUCCUCACUUCAUCACAAACCAGGAGAAGUCCAUUGUGGAGUUUGACAAUGCUAAAAUUUUGGUAACUGAUCAAAAGAUUUCAAAUGUCAAAGAAAUCAUUCCCUUGCUGGAAAAGGCUAUGCAGUUGAAUGCUCCACUCGUAAUUAUUGCAGAGGAUAUCGCAAAACAAGUGUUGGAAACAUUAGUAGUGAACAAAGCACAAGGGUUACUAAGAGUUGCAGUUGUAAAAUGUCCAGGAUUUGGAGAUGCAAAGAAAGCUAUAUUGCAAGAUAUUGCGCUUAUGACAGGUGGUGAUUUUCUUGCUGGAGAUUUGGGUCUCACUCUUGAUGGCGCCACAUCAGACCAGCUUGGCAAUGCACUGAAAGUAACAAUAACCAGUAAUGCAACAACUAUAAUUGCUGAUCCUAGCACUAAGGCUGAAAUUCAGGCUAGAAUUUUACAGAUAAAAAAGGAUCUUAUGGGAAUAGAUAAUGCGAACCUUUCGAAAAAGCUCUCAGAGAGAAUUGCAAAACUCUCGGGUGGUAUAGCUGUUAUAAAGGUAGGUGCACACACUGAGCUGGAACUUGAAGAUAGAAAACUUAGAAUCGAGGAUGCCAAAAAUGCUACAUUUGCUGCCAUAAAUGAAGGGAUUGUUCCUGGAGGGGGGGCUACAUAUGUCCAUCUGUUGGACUUGAUACCUACAAUAAGGAACUCCAUGGAAGAUCGAGAUGAGCAAAUUGGUGCUGAUAUUGUGGCAAAGGCACUCCUUGAACCUGCAAAAUCAAUUGCAACUAACGCUGGAGUUGAUGGAGAUGUUGUUGUCCAGAAGAUUAGAAUAUUUGAUUGGAGAAUUGGAUAUAAUGCAAUGACUGGCACAUAUGAAGAUCUUUUGAAUGCUGGAGUAGCUGAUCCUAGUCGAGUUGCAAGAUGUGCUCUUCAAAGUGCGGUAUCUGUUGCCGGCGUGGUUCUAACAACUCAAGCUAUAUUGGUGGAAAAAAUAAAGACACCCAAGCCACCUGUGCCCAUGCUCCCUGGUAUAAAUCUCUAAAAUAGGGAGAGCAAUUACAAUUUUGAACACGGAGUUGAAGUCUUCUCUGAUGUGUACGCCGUUGGUCGAGUCAAAUAUUGUGAAUGUCCCUCGGGUUGAUUAAUACUCGUGCUGCAAUUAGAAUGUUCCUUCAAGGAUGGAAAAAUGAGGGUUACUGCUUCUUACUCUUGGGUUAUGAUUUGAUGAAACCCACGUAUCAUGAAGCAAAAGGAACAAUUAGCAACAGCCAACAGGUACUUUCCUCUCCUGAUAAACUCUAUGCUUCGAAAUCAGGAAACACGGGUUACCUUCAGUUGUCUCGGACUCUUGGCUUAAUUGAUUCGAAUAUUCAACCAAACGGGUACCCGUUUAACGGAUAUUAAACAGGUUUAGUGCUCGAGAAACAUUUACAGGUAUUCGAGUGUUUGAUGUUUCAGACGUUGGGCUUGAGACCCUUUUGUUGAAAAAUUUAAGUCCAAAACGAGCCUUAAAAUAAAACUUAUGGUCAUAUAUU